UGUUUGCACCAAACGACGCGGUGGUGGUCAAGCAUUUUUUUAUUAUUUAACUGGUAAAUUGCUUAUCAUAAUUGCUGUUAGUAUCCUGACAUGGGCCUUACUAAGGUGCUCAUCGAUUAAUUCUCAUAGGAGAGUGAAAACCAGAUCUGCAGAUAUAAUGAACAGAAGCAUGCGUGAUGUUACCGGUUUUCUUUUGUGGCCCACUUAUCAUCGCAUCGGUAGGAAUCAAAACAUGUAUAUUCGCAGAAUCGAAAGCACACCGCCCAUAUCACGAAGGCAAAGCAGUUGAUUUAACACCGGAUAGAAGAACAUAUGUUUUGUAAAGUGCUGAAGCAGUUUAACCGCCAAAGAUCAUCCAGGAAUGUUAAAUCCACAUAAUGGAAGGAAAAUGGAGACUCCGUCUGGUGCAGGCAAGAAGGAUUCGCAUUGAAGGUUUGCAUGAAAGGAUUCGAAGAGAACAAAUGUAUCAGAAAAUUAGAUAAAAAAUAAUGAUAAAGACACAAAUUAUUGAGUAAAAGUUAGAAAUUAGGAAUUGAGUACACCUGAUUCUGUUUUUACACGG